AUUGAACGCUGGCGGCAGGCCUAACACAUACAAGUCGAGCGGGGUUUUCGGACCUAGCGGCGGACGGGUGAGUAAUGCGUAGGAAGCUACCCGAUAGGGGGGGAUACCAGUUGGAAACGACUGUCAAUACCGCAUAAUGUCUACGGACCAAAGUGUGGGACCUUCGGGCCACAUGCUAUCGGAUGCGCCUACGUGGGAUUAGCUAGUUGGUGAGGUAAUGGCUCACCAAGGCGACGAUCCCUAGCUGGUUUGAGAGGAUGAGCAGCCACACUGGAACUGAGACACGGUCCAGACUCCUACGGGAGGCAGCAGUGGGGAAUAUUGGACAAUGGGCGCAAGCCUGAUCCAGCCAUGCCGCGUGUGUGAAGAAGGCCUUCGGGUUGUAAAGCACUUUCAGUAGGGAGGAAGCGUUGUGUGUUAAUAGUACACAGCGUUGACGUUACCUACAGAAGAAGCACCGGCUAACUCUGUGCCAGCAGCCGCCGUAAGAC
rnacentral:rRNA from 1 species